AGAAGCGCCGGCUAAAUACGUGCCAGCAGCCGCGGUAAUACGUAGGGCGCAAGCGUUAUCCGGAAUUAUUGGGCGUAAAGAGCUCGUAGGCGGUUUGUCGCGUCUGCCGUGAAAGUCCGGGGCUCAACUCCGGAUCUGCGGUGGGUACGGGCAGACUAGAGUGAUGUAGGGGAGACUGGAAUUCCUGGUGUAGCGGUGAAAUGCGCAGAUAUCAGGAGGAACACCGAUGGCGAAGGCAGGUCUCUGGGCAUUAACUGACGCUGAGGAGCGAAAGCAUGGGGAGCGAACAGGAUUAGAUACCCUGGUAGUCCAUGCCGUAAACGUUGGGCACUAGGUGUGGGGGACAUUCCACGUUUUCCGCGCCGUAGCUAACGCAUUAAGUGCCCCGCCUGGGGAGUACGGCCGCAAGGCUAAAACUCAAAGGAAUUGACGGGGGCCCGCACAAGCGGCGGAGCAUGCGGAUUAAUUCGAUGCAACGCGAAGAACCUUACCAAGGCUUGACAUGAACCGGAAACACCUGGAAACAGGUGCCCCGCUUGCGGUCGGUUUACAGGUGGUGCAUGGUUGUCGUCAGCUCGUGUCGUGAGAUGGUGGGUUAAGUCCCGCAACGAGCGCAACCUUCGUUCUAUGUUGCCAGCGCGUUAUGGCGGGGACUCAUAGGAGACUGCCGGGUUCAACUCGGAGGAAGGUGGGGACGACGUCAAAUCAUCAUGCCCCUUAUGUCUUGGGCUUCACGCAUGCUACAAUGGCCGGUACAAAGGGUUGCGAUACUGUGAGGUGGAGCUAAUCCCAAAAAGCCGGUCUCAGUUCGGAUUGGGGUCUGCAACUCGACCCCAUGAA
rnacentral:rRNA from 1 species